rnacentral:lncRNA from 1 species
CUGCAUAUCAGCAGCUCUUGUGUUCAGAAUAAAAGAAGCUGCCCGCCUGUCCCCGCUAUGACCAAGCUGUCUGCACUCCUUCUCCAAGUGGCGUUGAGCGCUGUCUUCGCUCUUGGGCUUCUACAGAUGGCAAUAGCUGAUGAUGAAAUGGCACG